ensembl:lncRNA
CCAUAAAACCUAUGAAAUAACUCAUUCCCGUUUUACAGAUAAGAAAACUGAAAGUCAGGUGUGAUUUGUCAGGAUCAGAGCCACUGAUGGAGCAGAGUUCUAAAUCAAGCACUUCUAACCUCCAUUCCAAAGGACUCCUCGGUUAUAAUGAGUCUCAGCUGUCUUGCUUAAGCGCUUCCAUUUCACUCUAAGCCAGCGGUUCCGUGGCUGUCAAACCUCAGCCUCCAUCAGAAUCACCUGGAAGGCUUUCUAAAUUGCAGAUUGCUGCAUCCACUCCCGAAUUUUCGUAUUCUUCUAUAGGUCUGGGGUUUGGCCCAAGAAUUUAUGUUUAUACCAGUGCCCAGGUGACGCUCAUACUGCCAAUCUUCAAGCCUCUCAUGGAAAGCCUUUGCCCUAGAAAACAGGCAACAGCUGAAACCGCUGAACCAAAGAUGAGCUGAGGUUAGUCGAAGUAUUCAGAGAGGCGUCUGAGGCAGUGGUCAGGGAGGGUGAUGCAGGUAGGACCCCAAGCCGUGGCGGCAACAUGGAGCCAGAGUGUGUGUGGGGACAGACUCCGUGCCGGCUGUGACUGGGCAUGUGACGUGGGGGUCCCGGCUGAGCCCCAUGGACUGCAGCACGCCAGGCCUCCCUGUCCAUCACCAAUUCCCGGAGCUUGCUCAAACUCACGCCCAUCAAGUCAGUGAUGCCUUCCAACCAUCUCAUCCUCUGUCAUCCCCUUCUCCUCCCGCCUUCAAUCCCUCCCAGCAUCAGGGUCUUUUCCAUGAGUCACUUCUUUGCAUCACGUGGCCGAAGUAUUGGAGCUUCAGCAUCAGUCCUUCCAUGAAUAUUCAGGAACAGAAGGCUAGCAGGAGACUAUAUUGAAGAAAGAAAGAUCAAUAUGAAAAAGAAUUUGUGAAUGCCAUGCCCCCAGUUCAUCAAUUGACACAUAUCGGUGACCCCUGCCAGGUUGCCAGGAACUAGGGGAGGCUCACCAAAACCUUAGGAGAAGGAGCAAGGUCAUGGACUUUCUUACCCCACAGCUGUCAUCAUGGCUGCUCAAAGGGAAAAGAGUGGAAGCACGUACCUGGUAACAGAGAAUCAUUUUCUGAGGAGAUGAGAGUUGUAGGUUAAGUCAGGGGUUUGGUAGCAUCAUACAC